CCCAUCCAUUCUACACCAUAAAAACCACCCAAAACCUGUUCUAAAUCUCUUAUGCCGUGACUAUUGCAGGGAAGGAAGGAGAAGGAACAUCUUGUGCCGUGCCUAUGCCCAAGCCUUAGGAGUGUUGGAGCGUUUCUAGGUGUUUUCUAUCAUUGAUUUCAAUGUUUAAUUUAAGUUAUAUUUGUGUAAUUGCGAGCAUGAGGAACUAAACCCCUCUUAGUUAGGGGGUGAUUCGAAACUAUGUUCAUGCUUGCAAUAUGAUUUGAUUACAUCCAGUUGUGAAUUCAAUUUACUUAUCCGUUCGUAUAAAAACUGAUUUGUGUAUGUUGGUUGAGAGUGCACGCUUAAUUUUCAUGCAUGAAUUUGACGCUAGAAUAUAAGGGAGUUUCACCUAAUCGUUAUGAACUUAUAUUCACAAGUAGUGAAGGUUGCUAGUCACAAUCACGUUAAGUAAAUUCUUGGCAUAAGUUUCAUGCAAAUCAUAGUAACGAGUGCCUCGUCAAUGCUUAUGUUUUUCAUAGAACUUAAUGAUUCUUGCUUGUAUCUCUAUUAUGCAAUUCAUGUAGGGAACUUGUAGGGAAUGUUUUGGGUUGUCGGAUGCAAUCAUCCAACCCAAUAACUUGUGGAAAAAACUGAGGGUUAAUUAGUGCAAUUCACGGUUAAUUUGGGGCGUUGAGUAUUCAUAGUUUAUCGAAAAGCAACUGGAAAUCGUUUUGUAUGCAAGUGUGACAUGUGUGGAGAAGAACCUCCUAGCUAGCCUUCCAUCCAUAAGUUUCAUUCAAAUUCAUUUACAAUCUGUUUUGUUUUACAAAGUUUGUUUUGUUUUCAAAUUCGUCAAGAACCAAUCUCCCAUUUAUUUCAAAGUGUUAGAUUAGUUAGUAAACACUUUAGUUUGUGUUUUUAAGUGUUUUGAUUCACCCAAACUUGUCUAAGACUCUGUUUACUUUGUUCUUGUCUUAAUUUAAUUAUUUUCGUCCAAAAUCAACCCCAUCUUAUUUCUUUGAGUCAUAUUAAUUAGAACUUGUCUUAGAUUAUGUUUUUAAGUGUUUUAGUUCAUUAGAAAACCAAAAUUCGUCCAAGUUUGUGUUAGAGUUCCAAAACUGCCCAGAAAGUGUUUUUAAGGCAGUUUUGAGUCUUUGGUUGCUAUUUUGAAUCUUUUUGUUUAUCUUAGUAUUUUAAAGUAUAGUUUUGCAUUCUUUGAGUCUAGUUUAGUGUUUUAAACUUUGUUUUUACAUUUUCAAGUCAGUUUCCAAGUGAUUUAGCAAUCCCUCCUAAUCCCCGGCCUAGAACGAUCCCUACUUACAUACUUUACUACAUUUGAUAAAAAGAGGGUUUAAUUUGUGUGCUUAUAUAUUUAGCAUUAAAUUUUUGGCGCCGUUGCCGGGGAUUAGGAGGGAUUGCUAAACCUUUCCAUACCAUUCCCCAUCCAUUCUACACCAUAAAAACCACCCAAAACCUGUUCUAAAUCUCUUAUGCCGUGACUAUUGCAAGGAAGGAAAGAGAAGGAACAUCUUGUGCCGUGCCUAUGCCCAAGCCUUGGGGAGUGUUGGAGCGUUUCUAGGUGUUUUCUAUCUUUGAUUUCAAUGUUUAAUUUAAGUUAUCUUUGUGUAAUUGCGAGCAUGAGGAACUAAACCCCUCUUAGUUAGGGGGUGAUUCGAAACUAUGUUCAUGCUUGCAAUAUGAUUUGAUUACAUCCAGUUGUGAAUUCAAUUUACUUAUCCGUUCGUAUAAAAACUGAUUUAUGUAUGCUGGUUGAGAGUGCACGCUUAAUUUUCAUGCAUGAAUUUGACGCUAGAAUAUAAGAGAGUUUAACCUAAUCGUUAUGAACUUAUAUUCACAAGUAGUGAAGGUUGCUAGUCACAAUCACGUUAAGUAAAUUCUUGGC
rnacentral:lncRNA from 1 species